rnacentral:rRNA from 1 species
GAUGAACGCUGGCGGCGUGCCUAAUACAUGCAAGUCGAGCGAACAGAUAAGGAGCUUGCUCCUUUGACGUUAGCGGCGGACGGGUGAGUAACACGUGGGUAACCUACCUAUAAGACUGGGAUAACUUCGGGAAACCGGAGCUAAUACCGGAUAAUAUUUCGAACCGCAUGGUUCGAUAGUGAAAGAUGGUUUUGCUAUCACUUAUAGAUGGACCCGCGCCGUAUUAGCUAGUUGGUAAGGUAACGGCUUACCAAGGCGACGAUACGUAGCCGACCUGAGAGGGUGAUCGGCCACACUGGAACUGAGACACGGUCCAGACUCCUACGGGAGGCAGCAGUAGGGAAUCUUCCGCAAUGGGCGAAAGCCUGACGGAGCAACGCCGCGUGAGUGAUGAAGGUCUUCGGAUCGUAAAACCCUGUUAUUAGGGAAGAACAUACGUGUAAGUAACUGUGCACGUCUUGACGGUACCUAAUCAGAAAGCCACGGCUAACUACGUG